rnacentral:lncRNA from 1 species
UUAUCAAGUAAGUGGUGGAAUCAGAAUUGAACUCAAGCCAUCUGAAUUUCUUCUAUCCCAGCAGCCUAUUUUUUAAAUUAAUUUUUUGAUUUAUAUAUGACAGCAGAAUGAAUUAGAAUUCUUAUUACACAUAAUAGAGCACAAUUUUUCAUAUCUCUGGUUGUAUACAAAGUAUAUUCACACCAAUUUGUGUACAUGCAUGUACUUUGGAUAAUGGUGUCCAUUCCAUUCCACCAUCUUUUCUACCCCCAUACCCCCUCCCUUACCCUUUCACUCCUUUGCCCUAUCUAGAGUUUGUCUAUUCCUCCCAUGCUCCCCCUCCCUACCCCACUAUGAAUCAGCCUCCUUAUUGUCAGAGAAAACAUUUGGCAUUUGGUUUUUUGGGAUUGGCUAACUUGACUUAGCAUUACCUUCUCCAACUGCAUCCAUUUACUUGCAAAUGCCAUGAUUUUAUUCUCUUUUAUCCAGCAGCCUAUUCUUGGUGAUCAAGGAUAUUGCAGUUUGCUGCUCAGGUCACAACAACAGCAUCUCACCCUUACUCUCUCUCUCUUGCUCUUUCGCUCUCCUAUCCUCCAUCCUCUCUGAUUUCUAAAGGCAAGUGAGUUUUUGUUAGCUUUUUUUAAGGGCCGUGACUUUCAUGAAAGUCUGUUUUCCUGAGCAAUUCCAUUUGAAAGCACUUAGUGACCACAGUUUCUACUUUUCAAUAAGGAAAAUAGUGAAGAGGAAACACAAUGGACUGCUGGCUGCUGGAUGAGUCAUGGAGACCAAAGUGGCCACUGGCCCUGGACACCCUUCCAUGGAAAAGUCUCUGUGGACCAAGUACCGCCAUACAAAGUGGUCGGCAGGCGUGUGGUACCCUAGAGAAGCAAGGUACCAUGGUCAUGUGCCUGGCCCUAGGUGUGAAUGUUCUGGCAUUGUGCAACCGGGGAAAUCAACCUCUUGGAGCCAUGGUUCUCUCUCUCUUUGCAUCUUUCAGGAACAUAAAUUUUAUUAUAAGGGUUAUGAAAAACAGAAAUUUAUUAAGAACCAUCUCUGCUAUCACAGACCUGGGAGAAAGGACAGAGACGAGCAGGGAAGGCAGAAAGUAUCCCAGGAAAAAGUCUCUGAUGUCUCUCCCAGAUAGGGGAAGGGGGGGCCAUGACAGCACCGAUGCCCUCAUGACAGGAAUCCAUGUGAAGAAGACUGAGGCUGUGUGUACACUGCCUCCUGCAGCUGUUUGCAUCCAAGCCUGGCCACCAUCCACACUGUGACAUCAGGAUCCAGAGCUUGGGUCCUCUGUACGCUUAAAAUGUACAGAGACGUGCGAAAUGGACUUAAUGAUCUAAACAUCACAUUGUACCUCAUUAAUGUAUAUAGUCAUGCUGUGUUAACUGAAAAUGACAUUAAUAAAAGCAUAUGUAAAAUUAAAUGAUGGGGCUGGGGUCGUAGCUCAGUG